ensembl:snoRNA Snord8 small nucleolar RNA, C/D box 8
UCCCAGUGAGUUACCGCUAGGGCAUUGUUGCUCUGAUUUGGGUGCCUGUGAGUUUAACAAAACUUCUCACAUGGAUACCUGAGGGAC